rnacentral:tRNA from 1 species
GCGUGUGUAGCUCAGUUUGGCAGAGCGCCUCGUUGCCAACGAGGAGGCCGCCGGUUCGAGGCCGGCCACCCGCACCA